GUGCUCAUGAGGUAGGGGCCGCCUACCGCUUUGCCAAGGCGGAAGCGCGGGUUCAAAUCCCGCUGAGCACU
rnacentral:tRNA from 1 species